UCAUCUUCCAUGUGUUGAUUCUCAAACUUUGAUGCUAGAUGAUCAAUUCUUGUGCGUCUUACACUAGUGUUUCCCUCAAAAUGGUUGAUCAGAGUGUCCCGUGCUUCCUUUGCAGAUUCACAGCCUUGAAUUAUCAUGAAUUGGUUAAGGUCUACAGGGGAAAAGAUUGUGGUAAGGGCUUUUGAGUUAAACUUCGAAGCAGCUUUAUCAGAGUCCGUCCAUCUCUCCUUGGGUAGGGGUUCCAUGGACUUGUCAUCCAUAACCAUGGUAGGAGCGGUCCAUCCUUGCUCAACAGCAGU
rnacentral:lncRNA from 1 species